GAUGAACGCUGGCGGCGUGCCUAAUACAUGCGAGUCGAGCGAACGGACGAGAAGCUUGCUUCUCUGAUGUUAGCGGCGGACGGGUGAGUAACACGUGGAUAACCUACCUAUAAGACUGGGAUAACUUCGGGAAACCGUAGCUAAUACCGGAUAAUAUUUUGAACCGCAUGGUUCAAAAGUGAAAGACGGUCUUGCUGUCACUUAUAGAUGGAUCCGCGCUACAUUAGCUAGUUGGUAAGGUAACGGCUUAUCAAGGCAACGAUGCAUAGCCGACCUGAGAGGGUGAUCGGCCACACGGGAACGGAGACACGGUCCAGACUCCUACGGGAGGCAGCAGUAGGGAAUCGUCCGCAGUGGGCGAAAGCCUGACGGAGCAACGCCGCGUGAGUGAUGAAGGUCUUCGGAGCGUAAAACUCUGUUAUUAGGGAAGAACAUAUGUGUAAGUAACUGUGCACAGCUUGACGGUACCUAAUCAGAAAGCCACGGCUAACUACGUG
rnacentral:rRNA from 1 species